rnacentral:tmRNA from 1 species
GGGGGCGACAUGGCUUCGACGUGGGUUGCGAAUCAGAACAGUGCAUACCGAGGACCAGUCACCUCGUAAAUACAUCUGGAAACUUUACAAACGCCAACGACGAACAAUUCGCACUAGCCGCUUAAGCGGCUGGCGCUGCACCGGUACUCUGAUGGACCGGACCAGGCAACUGGAGGCAGUGUCAUAUACGUCAGAUAAGGGUCUGUAAUGCCGCGCGGCAGACCUCGAAAAUUAAGCGGAUCGCCUGAAGCGAGCCUGUUCGGCCGGCGCGCAAAGGUUAAACCCAAAUUGACCGGACUAAGUAUGUAGAUCUGCCUGUGUAGGACUUGCGGACGGGGGUUCGAUCCCCCCCGCCUCCACCA